UUUGACUGGAGUUGCAGCGUCUUUAGCCGCUAAACCCCCCAAUUUUUAAUGGUUGACCUCGGAUCAGGUAGGAAUACCCGCUGAACUUAAGCAUAUCAAAAGGCCGGAGGAAACA
rnacentral:rRNA from 1 species